AUUGAACGCUGGCGGCAGGCCUAACACAUGCAAGUCGAACGAGCGGCGGACGGGUGAGUAAUGUCUGGGGAUCUGCCCGAUAGAGGGGGAUAACUACUGGAAACGGUUGCUAAUACCGCAUACUAUCGGAUGUACCCAUAUGGGAUUAGCUAGUAGGUGGGGUAAAGGCUCACCUAGGCGACGAUCUCUAGCUGGUCUGAGAGGAUGAUCAGCCACACUGGAACUGAGACACGGCCCAGACUCCUACGGGAGGAAGCAGGGGGGAAUAUUGCACAAUGGGCGCAAGCCUGAUGCAGCCAUGCCGCGUGUAUGAAGAAGGCCUUAGGGUUGUAAAGUACUUUCAGCGGGGAGGCGUUAACCGCAGAAGAAGCACCGGCUAACUCCGUGCCAGCAGCCGCGGUAAUAC
rnacentral:rRNA from 1 species